rnacentral:rRNA from 1 species
UACGUAGGUGGCAAGCGUUGUCCGGAUUUACUGGGCGUAAAGGGCGUGCAGGCGGUUUUUUAAGUCUAGGGUGAAAGCUCCCGGCUCAACUGGGAGAGGUCCUUGGAUACUGGAAAACUUGAGGGAUGCAGAGGAAAGUGGAAUUCCCGGUGUAGUGGUGAUAUGCGUAGAUAUCGGGAGGAACACCAGUGGCGAAGGCGGGUCUCUGGGCCGAUACUGACGCUGAGGAGCGAAAGCGUGGGGAGCGAACAGG